GAUAAAGGAACGAUGGCUAAGAACGCCACCUCGUGUGGCAACGCCUUCGUGAGAGUCUGGUCGUGACGU
rnacentral:sRNA from 1 species